GAAGGGGUCAGCCAGCCUUUCUUAUGCUGAGCUGAGCUUCAGGUACAAAGAAGUACUCUGCCUCUCUGCACACCUCUCUGUCCCAGCAUGCAAUUUCUAAGAAGGCGCUAAAAGGUGUCUCUCCAGAAAUGGAGGAUGAGGAGGGCUACGUGGCUCUUAAUGUUUGCACAAGGAAAGGGCGCCAGCUUUACCCAGGAACCCAGGAACCAAAAACCCAGCUGAGCCACCAACGCUGGUGUCAGAUCAUUAUUGGAGCUGGAGGUGUUGUUUUCCUUCUUCUAGCAGGAGCUGCCAUAGCUUUGCGAAUUUUUGCUUUUCAGACGAGGCAAUAUAUAGAUGCUCUGGAGAAACCUUCUGUCUCUCAAGAACUCCGCAAUGGCACACAAGAUAAGACUAGCCUGGAGAAUGUCAUCUCUCACUUGAAACAAUUUUUGUGUAAGCCGCUUCGUAUCAGCUUAACAGAGAGCUUUAAGUGCAAACUUUGCCCACAGAAUUGGUUUCGUUAUGGGAACAAGUGCUACUGGGUCUCGAAAAAACAAGAAACUUGGAAGAAGGGUCAGGAAGACUGCAAAGCAAAAGACUCUCAGAUGCUGGUGGUACAGAAUCAGGAUGAAGUGGCUUUUAUUCAGAGUGUUAUUGGAGAAACGCAGUUGCUAUGGAUUGGACUGACAACCACAUUCCCUGAAAACAAAUUGACCUGGGUGGAUGGUUCCUCCCUAGAUGAAAAACAGUAAGUAUUUCUGCUUAAUGUUGUCAUCACAAGUUGAUAAACAAUAUUUUUAAAUCUUUUUUUUUUGUGAAACAAAGAAAGCAAAAAAGGUAUCUAUCACAGCCACUCAAGUGAACAAUUUUGGAUUCUGGAACAUUUAGCAUUUCCAGUCUGUAUGGAGGAUAUAUAUAUAUUCUUUAUACAGGUUAGAAAUCCUAAAUGUUCUAGGUAGUCCCCGAGUUACAAACAUCUCACUUACAAAUGACUCAUGGUUAAGAACAGGGGUUAGAUAAAUCAUUCCUGGAAGAGUUAUCAUAGGGAAAGGUUGUCCACCACCAAUCUUUAUUUCCACAACAAGACAAAUUUUCCAAAAUCCAUAUAUCACAGGGACAGAAAGUGAGAUGAAAUCUUCUGAACAGGGGCACAGACAGCAAAAGAAACACCUUACUUACUUAUUUACUUACUUAGGCGAUCUCUCGUAGCCCAGGGAUGAUGGUCCUCCAAGUGUAGUGUCUUGGCGGUGGAUGCAUAGGUGGCUGUGGAGACCUAUUCUUGACCCACAUGUUCUUCUGCAGUGAGGACAUCAGUUUCCAGAUGGAAGGUGGUCCUGGCCAGGGUUGGCUUGAUGCACCUUCCUCUUGGCACAUUUCUCCCUUAAGCCCUCCAUUCAUGCCUCUUUGAAUUCCACAGCACUGCUGGUCACAGCUGACCUCCAGUUAGAGUGCUCAAGGGUCAGGGAUUCCCAGUUCUUGGUGUCUAUGGCACAGUUUUUGAGGUUAACUUUAAGCCCAU
rnacentral:lncRNA from 1 species